rnacentral:rRNA from 1 species
UCCGUAGGUGAACCUGCGGAGGGAUCAUUAUAGAGUUUUUUAAACUCCCAACCCAUGUGAACUUACCUUUUGUUGCCUCGGCAGAAGUUAUAGGUCUUCUUAUAGCUGCUGCCGGUGGACCAUUAAACUCUUGUUAUUUUAUGUAAUCUGAGCGUCUUAUUUUAAUAAGUCAAAACUUUCAACAACGGAUCUCUUGGUUCUCUGGCAUCGAUGAAGAACGCAGCGAAAUGCGAUAAGUAAUGUGAAUUGCAGAAUUCAGUGAAUCAUCGAAUCUUUGAACGCACAUUGCGCCCAUUAGUAUUCUAGUGGGCAUGCCUGUUCGAGCGUCAUUUCAACCCUUAAGCCUAGCUUAGUGUUGGGAAUCUACUUCUCUUAGGAGUUGUAGUUCCUGAAAUACAACGGCGGAUUUGUAGUAUCCUCUGAGCGUAGUAAUUUUUUUCUCGCUUUUGUUAGGUGCUAUAACUCCCAGCCGCUAAACCCCCAAUUUUUUGUGGUUGACCUCGGAUCAGGUAGGAAUACCCGCUGAACUUAAGCAUAUCAAUAAGCGGAGGA